AUCUAAUCUUGUUGAUCUGUAGCUCAUGAAUUAGCAGCAGCAAUGUUUGUUCUCUGAGUGUAUCCAUGUUUUUGGGCCUGCUUUUUUUUUUUUUUUUGCUAAAAUUUGGGCCUGCUUCUCUUGUUGGUUUAUUGUCAUAAAUUGUAGAUUGAGCUUUAGGAGUUUUUUUUUGUUUUAAAGUUUUUUAACAAUAGAACUAUAACUAUAAGUCAUAUUCAUGGGGUGUUAAGUUUAGUAUGAGAAAUAUUGUGUGACCAUUAGUUUGAUGAUGUAUUUGGCAGAACUAUUUUGUUUUGGCAAAUUAAUUUUGCCCGGAGGAUAGUAACUGUUGGUUAAAUUGUUUAUCCUUAUUGUUGUUUAUACAUUGUUAUGAGAGAAAAAUUUUUGUUUAGUCAGGUCAAAGGAUUCUAGCUUUGCAGCUCAUUUUUGUAUCACCGUAUGUUGUUAAUGAUUCCUGUUCUUGUGCAGUUUGUUUAGCCACCUUAAUACUAGGUUAUGUUAUAUUGGUACUUGAGGAUUGAGUUAAGCUACACCAAUGUAAUGCUGUUAUUGUGAUUUCUAGCCUGCUAUUCCUUUUAAUGAUACGAUGAUUGGACCCUUUGGCUGCACUUACCAGACUGUCACAUAGUGAUUCCUUUGUUACA
rnacentral:lncRNA from 1 species